UGUCCCAAAGAGUUGACAAUGUAAAGUAUAGUCUAAGCCAAUGGUUUUCAAAAUGUGUUCUAUAGAGCUGUUCCACAAUAGAUCAUCAGAAGCUCUGCAAAGAAAUUGAGGGCAAUAACAAAGCAGGCUGGGAAGCCAUGUGCAACCAUUGCCAGGCUGUGUCACCUUGGCCCCAUGUCAGCUUGCACAGCCGGAAGAGCCCAGGCAUAUGGGUUCCACAGCAGAAGUGAUAUUAAAGGGUUCUGUUGUUGCCCUGUGGGGUCAGGCCAACUCUCAGGAUCUCAAUAUUGCACGGUUAGACAGGAGGGCGUGGUGUACAAUUGCACAUGCACACACUAAAAAAUCAAUUAGGUGCACACACAUACUCUAGAUGCAUGUACCCCCACCAGAUAUACACACACACACACUACCAAUUCAGGCACAUACACAUCCAAAAUUACCAGCCUAGGCACAUGUACACCUAUCACCAAGUCAAGCACCUACACACACUAUACAGACCAAAAGACAUUAGACCAGGAUCAAUUACCAAUACCUGCACAUCCAGUACACAUACAUGGAUCACUAAUUUGUAUAUCAUGCACACAAUGGCAUACAUGUAUAUUGGUUCACAUACAUACCACUCACCUACACACAUACACACACACAGGUGAGUUCCUAACUUGGGUGUUGUGGUGUAUAUGUAUGUGUACUUGGGAUACCUGGGGGAAGGUUAAAGUAAGAGAGAGAGAGUGAAAGUGUAGGGGGUGAAAGUUGCUGGGACUGGGAUUAGAACUGGUAGACUAGAAAGAGACAUGGGCUGACAAGCUGAGGCUUGGGGUUACUUUAGGUUACUGCUGGUGGAAACUGAGAUGAAAGUUGCCAGUGCUGGGAUUAGAACCAGCAGACUGGAGGGAAGUUGGGGUAACUUAAGGUUAAUUGGUGUUAAUUGAAAGCAGAAAGCUGGCAGAGCGAAGGAGCAAUGAUGGGGAGAAGCCCGGAGGCUGGAGCUGGAGCAAGGAGGCUACAGGGGAGCCAAGAGGUGGUGUGAUGUGGAAUGAUAGUCCAGCUGAGACAUAAAUGAGGAACCUAAAGGUGUAUGGAAAGGCGGGCAAGCAAGAUGGUUAAUGUUUCUGCCAAUGCUGUAAAUUAAUGACACUGUCAUGGUUUUUGGACUGUGAGUUUUGUAGCAUUUGAGAAUCUUGUCAUUUAAGAAGAAAAAGGUUCACUGCCAGUUCAUAGAUCAGUUGUGUUUAAUUUAGACACUAUAUAUUUUUUCUGACGCAUUCUAAUUAGACACAUUCUAAUUGGCACUCCAAUUAAAGUGUUCCACAAGCCUCACUGUCUUGUGUAUUCAGUGUCCCAUUGCCAUUUUAAAGUGCAGGACACUGAAUACAUGUGAUGCUGCGGUGUUUUAAUUAGAGCAGCUCUCCAGUGAGCUGUCAGUGGGCUGAGUGCCUCCUGAGUUGUGAGGGGGUCUUGAUCCUUCCCUCUGUGGCAAUGGUGCCCCCUGGGGCUUCCUGGGUGGGAAGCUAGUUUCCCAGGGUCUUCCCUAGCUUUGCAGGAAUCAUCUGGCCAGAUCUAACACUUCCCCAAGCCCACCAGGGCCUCCAGCACCCUGUGCACUGUCUCUGCAACUUUUCUGCUGCCUGGAACCAUGCAGGAACAGGCUGGCUUGCUCCUGGGGCAAUGUGGGGAGGUGGCAGGAGGACAGGUGUGUGUGCUGGCAGCAGGGACAGUGCAUGGGGCAUUGGAAACCUGGGCAGGCUCAGAGAAACUUGGGCUUGGUGGGCUUCCAGCACCCUGUACACCAUCCCUGCUGCCUCCUCCAGCCACCAGCACACCCAGCCACCCUCCUGCCACUUCCCUGUGCUGCCUCAAGGGCAAGCCAGCCCAUUCCCAGGCAGUCCCAGGCAGCGGAAAGAUGGCAGGGACAGUGCACAGGGCUCUGGAAGCCCUGGUAGGCUCAGGUAGGAGUUGGAUCUGCUGGGUGCUGCCUCCAAGCUGCAACAGUUCCAGUCUACUAGCAGCCCCAUUCAGGUGGCCCUGGGGGGUGCCACUGCCAUGGAGGGAAGGACUGGGGCCUCCUGCAGCUCAGGAGCUGCUCGACCGGCCAGCAGAUCUCCCCUGGACUAUGGGAGAGGCAGGCAGGCUCUGCCAGGAAGAAAAGAAAAAGGAUUGGGCCCCUUAGCAGUUCUAUAGCGAGGGGCCUGAUCCUUUUUUCUGUGGAGCCUGCCUACCUCUCCUGCAGCUGGAGGGGGGAGGGGGUGGGCAUGAACUGACAGCUGCAUUAUUGCAAUUUGCAACAUUGCAAAUGAAACUACAUCCAGAUGUAGUUUAGUUUGCAACAAUGCAAAGUCAUUUAAAACCACCAGAACUGGCACACUAUAUUGAGUGAUGCCAUUCAAGCCAGAUAAAUUAUAUUUUCAUCAUGUGCACAUUGUGAUGACCAUCACAUGUACAAGCGUCCAGAGAUAAUAAAAAUCAGCAAACGCUUAGUAGAUGCCAGCAAGAGAAGUUGGUGAAUUUUGUCUUUGUUGCUAUAGCAACAUAGUUAACACUAAAAUCAAUGUGCUGAAAGAGAGCUGCAUUAAAUUGUUUUUCCCUUUCUCCCCUGGUUCAUGCUUACAAAGCAAUAUACUAUCUGCCAAGGUGUAAAGAAACCAAUUUUUAUUUCUUGUUUAUUACCUCACAAGUUGAGAAUUUGUUUGGAAAAGGUUGAGGCCAAAAAUGUCACUUAGUAGGCAGCAACUAAAAUAAAUUUCAGUGUGCUACCCAAAGAGUGGCAGUGAGAAUUGGAAAAGGAUUGAGAGAGUUUAUGUAUUUAACUAUCUGAAUCAGGUUUUAAAGACCUAAUACAAAAUUGAAAAAUGCUAUAAGAGAAUAUAGUAAAAAUGUAUACCCAGAUUUAAAUGACUUUACACAAAACAGAUUGGGUUUUGAUUGCUGCAGGACUAUUUGGUUUUAUAUGUUGUGUUAUUUCCACUGAUGCAGCUCUGUGGGUUUCUUUCACCUUGAUUUAUUCUAUUCUCUGUUGGUUCUGUUUCUGGUGAAAUAACUUGAAAACAGACUGAAAACUAGUUUUCAUAAAUUCAACCAUUUUCAUUACUAACAGCUUUCUCCAGUUAAGAAUACAUCUGUAGUUCUAGUACAUUUGUAAGUAACCAAGUGACAUCACAGAUAUGGCCAAAGGUGUUUGCCACUCAGAAUUGUGAAUUUUUAUUUCUGUUUUCCACUCUAGAGAUUUUUUUCCCUAGAAAUGUAUUUUACUUUGGCUUGAAGUUACCUUAUGUAGUUUAGCCACAACAUAAGAAUGAUAACUGAGACAAAGUACUAGGUAGGAGAUGGAGAAAUGGAAUACAAUUUAGGCAUGAGUGGGGAGGGCCAUUUCUGUUUAUAGAUUUUCAAGAUGGAAAAUAAGAUUCUUUUUUUCUUAGCGUCCCAUUAAAAAAAAUACUACUGAGGAGAUUUUCUCCUGAGUGUCCACAGCAGCUUCAUCACCCAUCUGUCAGGAGGCAAAUCGCAACUGUGUGCUGCUUCUAUACUCCAACAUCACAAACCCAGUCAGCCUCAGGUCCUCAGGAGAAGGCGUGGGCAGGUCAAUGCAAUACAUGCAAGCAUCUUCUAGAACAAUGUCACGUGGUCAGAAACCCCUUAAAAUAAUGCCCAUGUAGCUAGGAUUAGAAUCCUAUAAGAUGGUAGCCUUGUCUACCUCCGGCUCCAGCCUUUAGGGCUGUAUAAGGAGGGGGCAGAGAGGGAAGGCAGUGACAAAUCUGGCCUGCAGCUUGGGGAUUGCUUCCGGGCUAGGGAGACCAGUGGAACACAAGAGGUAGGUCUGCCAGAGGGGACCACAUGGCAUGUGAAAGCCACCACAAGCCUCAGUCAAUCUAGGGAAUUCAAGACCACAUAUGACUUCAUCAGUAAAGUCAUCAUCAAGGAUAAAGUGUGUCCAACUUGACCUGCAUUUGACCCUUCAUGUCAUACCCUGAUUAUGAGUUAUGUUAGCAACCAGAGAAUGAUGCUGCUCACCAGAAAUCCCUUCCAGAGACAUUAGAGGCAGCAGAGGUAAGCAGGGCAAUACUGAUGCCAUGUUAUGCUGACCACUUUUCUCUAACGGGUCUGUCAUGCAUGUGAAACCUUCAGCAAUACACCAUAGUUCAUAAUUGUGUGUUUGUGUACAACUUAAUCUACACAUUGUCAAGCAUGUAAAAGAACAAGGAGUUUGGUACAACAAUCCAUAGCAACAACAAAAUGCAUUACCUUAUUGUUUAAAAGAGAAAACAGAAUUAAAAUGUGGGCUAAAAACCCUACAAUGUAGGAAGCAGCAUAACUCUGAUUAAAUCAUAAUCAUUCUUCUAAUUAUUUUGUGGGGUGUUAAGCUAAAGCUAGAGUGUUCUGUAAAAUUUAAGAUGCCAUGCAAGUGAGCGAGAAUAUAAAAACCACCAGUCUCCUGUCUAACCUAGAUUAAUAGCAUACAUGAUAGUAACCCUUAAUUUGAAUACCUGUAUUGCUAACUGUGAAGUGAAAACAAACAAGCCUCUUUUACAGCACUUACUUGCCUGUUUCAUACUGUAUAAUAGUAUUACACUACAUGCUAUUCUAACUUAUAAUAAUGCUAUACCAAGAACAAGUAUAGCAAUCUACAUUGAGUUAUGCAGCUUUGGUUUACAAUCUAAAACCUUAAUUAUAUAUGAGGGAAUUUACCAUAAUGUAAGACUUUUAACUUUAAGACUUAAGACUUUUGAUACUGUCUCACUGCAGUCUUAUAUUUUAAGCUAAGGCAAUAGCUUCAGCUAGACUGUGUAUUGAGGUAGUUGAAUUAUUGAUGGUUUCCUGAAUGUCUGUCCAAAGUUCAGUACUGUUUGAUAUCUACGUUCAUGAUGUGGGUGAUAGGAUGAUGUGGGUGAUGUGUACCUCUGGAUAAAUCUACGGACAGCACCAGGUUGGAUGGGGUAGCAGAAACUUUAAAGGAUAGGGUUAGGAUUCAAAAGGACCUUAUUAAAGUGGAACAGCUGUCUGAAAUAGAUGGGAUGAAAUUCAGUAAGGACAAGGGCAACAUUGACACUUAAGCAAGGGAUUAGCUUAGUUGAAAGGGACCUGGGGGGUUAUAGUGAAUCACAAGCUGAAUAUGAAUCACCGACGUAAUGCUGUUUGAGGAGAGAAGGCGGGGGAGAGGAAAAAACUGAAGAGAGUCCUAGGAUAUAUUAACAAGAGGGUUGUAUGCAAGUUGAGGGAAGUGACUCUUCCACGCUUUAGCAUAGGUAAGGCCUCUCCAGGAGUAUUACAUUCAGUUUUGGGCACCACAGUUCAAGAAGUAUGUGGGUAAAUGGGAGAGUCAAGAAGAGAGCAAAACAGUGGCGUAACUGAGGUGGGAACAACUGGGGCAGCAGCCCUGGGCAAAAUCUGUGGAGGGGGAGAAUAGCUGCUGUGCAGCUAGUGCCCAUGACACUUUUGACAGCACAACAGCUGGCGUGUCUCCUUGUGCCACUGCUGUCCGGGGUGUGGAGCUGCCUUGUCACAGCUCUGGCAAUAAGAAUGAUUAGAAGUGUAGGAAAAAUGACAUAUGAAGAAAAGAUGAAAGAAGUGGAAUUAUGUAAUCUACAGAAAAGACUAAUGAGGAUUUGAACACAGCCUUCAAAAUCUAAAAUAGUUUUUAUAAAAAGGAUGGCAAUCACUUGUUCUCUGUUUCCCACAAUGAACAGGGCAGGAAGUAAUGGGUUUAAAUUACAACAAUGGAGAUACAGAUUAGAAAUGAAGAAGAAACUUGCAACUCUGAGGAAGGAUAAGCAUUAUUGUAACAUCUCCUUGGGUAAAAUCUGUCACUAGAAUUUUUUAGGUACAGAUUGGAUGAACGUUUGUCUGGGAGUGGUGGACUAGGUGACUUUGACAUCUUUUCCAGCUCAAGUUUUCAAUGCCUCUGUGUUGCCAAGCAUAAAGCAUAAGUGUAUAUGUGCACAUUCACCUCUGUGCUAAAGUGUGUGUGUAUUUUAGGAAGUUCUAAAAAAAUAAUUAAAACAAUUAUGAAGAAAAGCUGGUAAAAAUAACUCUUUUGAAACAGAGGCUUCAGCAAAGCAGAAGGCAUAUAUGAUCCUCAGUUAAAACUUUUCAGUUAAAGGGGAAAUUUGCAAGUUCACAAUACAAUAUUCCCAGGCACAUCAGAAAUAUUUAAUAGCCAUGAAAAAUAUAGAAAAAACUCCAGAAGAAUAUUAUUUUCAAAGUAUAAAAAUUCUUUGACGUGCUUCUUGACUUGUUAAUCAGCUUCUGUAGUAUACCGACAUAUUCUUCCCUGAAAUCCAGAUACAAUCCAUGUCUGUAGCUGUACCCUGAUGUAACCCUUCAGUUAAUUGGAAGAACUUAAGCAAAAAUGUAAGGCAUUCCAUGUCCUUAGCCCUGUAGGAGGGAACAUUUAUUGUGGUUAAUUUUAACACUGCAACAUUUUGUCCUGUAUCACAACUGCUUUGAGAUGUAUGUUUUAAAGCUGCUUUACUAUACAGGAAGGACAGUAGGUAGAAAGAGCUUGAAUGCCUACUAUUCAGCUUUUGAAAAAUCAUCUAGGGAGUGUUCAUGCUUAACUUCUUUCCUUUCUUUAGAUUCCCAUUCAACCUUGUGUAUUUUUAUUUGACUGAAAUGUUGUAUUCUGAGCUCAAAAGAAUUACUGUUUGAGGAGCCACAUGGGUACUUAUAGCAUUUACUAAGUGUAUUGUCUCUGUUAUAGUGCCUGAAAAUCCAUAUUGCAUUAACCUUUUUUACCACACCAACAUCUGUCUCUUAAAACUGAAAUGCAAAAAACCUGUGAUUAGGAGGAAGAUGACCUAUAAAACUUGCAUUUAGUAUUUUUCAGGGAGUUGAGCAUGGUGGAAUUUAGAUCACAACUGAGCACUUAAGUCUAGUUAUGUGUCUAAUAGGUGCAUUAGAAACUGACCCUAUAUCUCUUUCAUUCUCUCCUCAUAAAUUAAUUACUUUUGUCUCUUCAUUGGCUAUUGUUGCUGCACUCUGGACUCCUUCCAGUUUCAAAGAAAUCACAGAGAAGUAAGGGUGGAAGGGGCCUCCAGAGAUCAUCUGGUCAAACCUCCUGUUGGAGUCAAGAUCAUCCCUAUCCAAAUCAUCCUCCGCAAAUCCAAAACCUAAUCUCUUAGUAAAACUAUGGUCAACCUUGAUACACCACAAGACAUAACACCCUAACCUGCUACAGGUGAAGCAAGGGGAACCUGGCAACCAACAUCUCACUUCUGGAAAAGGUUGUUAAUAUAUGCUCAAGAGAUGCCAAGUAGAGAGCCAUGCCCCCCACUACAGAGGAGGGCAAAAAUACCCACAGUCUAUAAAAAUUUGACCAUGGGGUAAAAUUUCUUCCUGAGCCCAAAUAUGGUGAUUGGUCUGACCAUGAAUGGAUGGGCAGGGAACCUCCAGCUUUAAGUCCCAGGAGGAGCAUUAGCACACCUGAGUCAGAAUUUGCAGCCUUGACUGCAGCCAACAUCCAGUGCCUCUGAGGAAAGCUUAACUCCCCACGCCCAUAAAACCUCCAAACUCCUACAUACUCACCAGACGCAUAUAGCAGAAAAGGGGGAAAAAAAAGGGCGGGGGGGCAGGGGGAUUCCUUCUCAGCCCCAUGCAGCAACCAGCAAAGCCCAGAAGCAUGGGAAAUAAUCAGAGUAGAAUAUUGACAUAGCUAUUAUGGUUGGAAGGGAUCUUAGGAGGUCAGAUAAUCUACUUCCUGCUCAAAGUAAGACUGUCCCUAACUAGAUCAUCCCAGCCAAGGCUUUGUCUAGCUGGGUAUUAAAAAUCUGCAAGGAUGGAGAGUCCACUACCUCUCUGGGUAGCCUCUUCCGGUGUUUUUCUAGUGAGAAUUUUUCUUAAUGUCUAAUCUAAACUUCCCUUGUGGCAGGGAAGAUCUGCAUCUGCAUCAGCAGUGGCAAUUUAUGUCAUCUCCCACCACUGAGAACAGUGUAGCUCCAUCUGCAUUGGAAGCCUCCUUCAGGAAGUGGAAGGCUGCUGUUAAAUCCUCUCUUAGUUUCCUCUUCUCCAGACUAAAUAAUCCCUGUUCCCUCAGCCUCUCCUCCAGAAGUCUUUUGCCCCAGCCCCCUAAUAAUUCCUAUUGCCCUCCCCUGGACUUGUUCCAAUUUGUCUGCAUCCUUUCUGUAUCUGGGGGCCCAAAACUGAACACAGUACUCCAGAUGUGGCCUCAUCAGUGCUGAAUAGAGGGGAAGGAUCACUUCCCUUGAUCUGCUGGCAAUGUUCUUACUAAUGCAGCCCAGCAUGCUGUUAGCCUUCUUGGCAACAAGGGCACACUCUCUUGGCUCAUAUUCAGCUUAUUCUCCACUGUACCCUCCAGGUCUUUCUCUUCAGAGCUGCUGCUUAGCGAGUUAGCCCCCAGCCGAUACUGGUGCAUGGGAUUGUUUCAUCCUUAGUGUAGGAUUUGGAACUUGUCCUUAUUGAACCUCAUGCGACUUCUUUUGGUCCAAUCCUCCAAUUUGUCUAGGUCUCUCUGAAUCCUAGCCCCACCCUACUACUUCCCCCAUCUUGGUGUCAUAUGCAAACUUGCUGAGGGUGCCAUGCCAUUUUCCAGGUCACUGAUGAAACCAGCCCCAGGAACGAUCCCAUGAGCACUCCACUUCAUAACAGCUGCCAACUAGAUACUGAGCCAUUGACUACUACCCUUUGAGCCUGAUGAUCCAGUCAAUUUUCUAUUCACUUUACAGUCCAUUCAUCCAACCUAGACUUCCUUAGCUUGCUUGUAAGAAGGUUGUCAGAGACUAUAUCAAUAGCGUUGCUAAUGUCAAGGUAGAUCACAUCCACUGCUCUUCUUGUGUCAAAUCCUCCAAUUUGUUGAGAUCUCUGUGAAUCUUAGCCCUACCGUCCAGCUUACCUACUACCCUCACAGCUUGUUGUCAUCUGCAAACUUGCUGAGUGUACACUCCAUCCCAUCUCCCAGAUUGAAGACAAUAAACAAAACUGGCCCCAGGACCAGCCAUCUAACCAUUGACUACUGCCCUCUGAGCCUGUAGAUCCUGCCAGUCUUCUAUCCCCCUUACAGGCCGUAUAUCCAACCCAGACUUCCUUAGGUAGUUUGCAAGAAUGUUGUGGGAGACUCUAUCAAAAGCCUUACUCAAUUCAAGGUAUAUCAAGCCCAUUGCUCUCUCCACGUGCACAGAGCCAGUCUUCUUGUCAAGAAGGCAAUCAGGUUGGUCAGGCAUGACUUGCCCUUGGUGAAUCAAUGCUGACUGUUCCUUAUUACCUUCUUCUCCAAGUGCUUAGAAAUGGAUUCCUUGAGGACCUGCUCCAUGCUUUUUCCAGGGACUGAGGUGAGGCGGACCAGUUUGUAGUUCCGUGGAUCCUCCUCCUUCCCUGUCUUAAAGAUGGGCACUUUAUUUGCCCUUUUCGAGUCAUCAGGGGCCUCUCCCAAUCAUCAUGAGUUUUCACAUCAGCCAGCUUCUUCAGCACCCUCAGGUGCAUCCUGUCCAGCUUGAUGGCCUUGUACAUGCCCAGCUUUUCUAAAUAGUCUCUUAACUGCUUUUUUGCCACUGUUCACUGCACACCUUCUCCCCAAAUUGUUCUUGGAAUUGUCCUGCCUGUGAAGACUUAAGUAAGUUGUGGGGGACUGACAGUGUCUGGGGGCAGUUGCCGACCCCUGGUUGGUGUUUGCCACUGGCCCCCCUCCCCCCGCCCCACCUCCUGCCCGCCACUGACAGCACCAGUGGUGUCUGCAGGAGCUCCUGCUUACCGCUGCUGUGCUCCCAUCACCGCUGUGCCCCCCCUAGCUGCUGGAGGCAUGCAUCGUUCAUGCCUUAGACUCCCUGUCAAAGGGAGGGGUGUGGCAAGCUGACUGAUGAACUGCUUGCAAACUGCCCUAUUUGCUGUCCCUUUUCUCUCGCUCCCUGUUCACUUGGGGAGUCUCCUUUUAUACCCUCCUGGGCCUGGACUGACUCCAUCCCCUUGUUAGGGCUUUUGUCAGGCACAGACAGCAGUCACACAGCAGUGACCCAGUUAGCAUUACUCCUAGAUGCUCAAAACACAGGCCUAAACACACAGCCCACCACAAAAAUGCUCAGUAAGCCAUGUAUAUAGACAGCCCUGGCUUACUUACCUUCCCAGAGCAGGAUCUGAUGCCUGGCACCUCUUCCAUUUAUUCUUCUUGCUCCCAGUGAACUGCCUUAAUUUCAUCCUGUUAGCUCCAGCCCACCUUUCCAAUCUGUCAAGAUCAUUCUGAAUUGUCCUGUCUUCCAGUUGUUCACCAUCCUUCCCAGUUUUGUGUUGCCUGAAAACUUGCUUGAAAAGCUUUCUAUGCUAGCAUCCAAAUAAUUAAUAAACAGAUUGAACAGCACUGGACCCAGGACAGUCCCCAUGUGGGACUCCACACAAAACAUCCUGCCAUUCUUGCAUGGAUCCAUUUAUAAUUACCCUUUGCUUGUGGCUAUUGAACCAGUUGUCUAUUCACCCUAUAGUACUGUCCAGCCAUUUUUUCAAUAACUACUUCAGUGCAAGCAGAUAAUGCUAACAUUCAGAAUUCAAAUUCAGUCAUAUAUGAGUCAAAGAUAGAGCCAAUUUUACACUUCUAUUUAUGCUUUUACAUGUAUGCUUUGGACUUUUUGUGCAGCCAUGUUGCAUUACAAUGUUAUGUUUGAUUUGUUGUCCAUGUCUUUCUCUGCCAGUAUUACUGCUUUCCAAGUUUUUUUACAUGGUAGAUAUUUGUAGCAGAUAAUAUCUUUAUACAUAAAUAUAGAUUACUGUAUUUACUCAAGUGCAAGAUGAGGGUUUUUUCUCCAGUGGGGAAAAAAACAACCCUUGUCUUAUAAUUGUAUAUGAGGAAUCCUCAUUAAAUACAUGGUCUAUCAUUAAACUGC